rnacentral:rRNA from 1 species
GAUGAACGCUGGCGGCGUGCCUAAUACAUGCAAGUCGAGCGAAUGGAUUAAGAGCUUGCUCUUAUGAAGUUAGCGGCGGACGGGUGAGUAACUCGUGGGUAACCUGCCCAUAAGACUGGGAUAACUCCGGGAAACCGGGGCUAAUACCGGAUAAUAUUUUGAACUGCAUGGUCCAAAAUUGAAAUGCGGCUUCGGCUGUCACUUAUGGAUGGACCCGCGUCGCAUUAGCUAGUUGGUGAGGUAACGGCUCACCAAGGCAACGAUGCGUAGCCGACCUGAGAGGGUGAUCGGCCACACUGGGACUGAGACACGGCCCAGACUCCUACGGGAGGCAGCAGUAGGGAAUCUUCCGCAAUGGACGAAAGUCUGACGGAGCAACGCCGCGUGAGUGAUGAAGGCUUUCGGGUCGUAAAACUCUGUUGUUAGGGAAGAACAAGUGCUAGUUGAAUAAGCUGGCACCUUGACGGUACCUAACCAGAAAGCCACGGCUAACUACGUGCCAGCAGCCGCCGUAA